rnacentral:rRNA from 1 species
GAUGAACGCUGGCGGCGUGCCUAAUACAUGCAAGUCGAGCGAACGGACGAGAAGCUUGCUUCUCUGAUGUUAGCGGCGGACGGGUGAGUAACACGUGGAUAACCUACCUAUAAGACUGGGAUAACUUCGGGAAACCGGAGCUAAUACCGGAUGAUAUUUUGAACCGCAUGGUUCAAAAGUGAAAGACGGUCUUGCUGUCACUUAUAGAUGGAUCCGCGCUGCAUUAGCUAGUUGGUAAGGUAACGGCUUACCAAGGCAACGAUGCAUAGCCGACCUGAGAGGGUGAUCGGCCACACUGGAACUGAGACACGGUCCAGACUACUACGGGAGGCAGCAGUAGGGAAUCUUCCGCAAUGGGCGAAAGCCUGACGGAGCAAAGCCGCGUGAGUGAUGAAGGUCUUCGGAUCGUAAAACUCUGUUAUUAGGGAAGAACAUAUGUGUAAGUAACUGUGCACAUCUUGACGGUACCUAAUCAGAAAGCCACGGCUAACUACGUG